CUGUAGUAAUCGAUCACAUCACCGCCUAGCCCCGCCAUGCUCACAGAAGACUCCUGCAAACCCACCAACCCUCCGCUCCCCCUCACGCAGUCCCCCCCCCCAUAACCACCUUCCUGUUUGCAUUGCCUGCUGCGAUGGCGACACUGACGCGUGAGCGCGCGUGUGCCUCACCGUGAAAACGAUGUAAUCACCUUUUCCGAAUCAAGGGCCCUGCGGUGAGCAACGCCGCGUAUCUCACGGACGUGCGCAUACCUACACAGAGACGCAAGACGAUCUUUCGUGUUGCCCAGCCCCCUCACCACGCUGCUCAUCGAUGAUCGCUGCGUGAACUUCCGCGUCACGGAACUGCGCACCGGUCAUGGCGUGCUGGUCCCGUCGUAUUACGCCGACGCAGUGGCGUGUGCAGCAGAUUGAUUGCUUUUGCGUGCCGCCGACUGACAGCCUCUACGAUGUCAUCGGCAUGGAUCUUGACGGAAGAGACGGCGGCAUGUGGAGCGGGCGAGCGCUGCUCGGUCGCGUAGACGUCGACGGCGUCGUUGUGCGUUUGCUAGACGUGCUGGA